AUUGAACGCUGGCGGCAGGCCUAACACAUGCAAGUCGAACGGUAGCACAGAGAGCUUGCUCUCGGGUGACGAGUGGCGGACGGGUGAGUAAUGUCUGGGAAACUGCCCGAUGGAGGGGGAUAACUACUGGAAACGGUAGCUAAUACCGCAUAACGUCGCAAGACCAAAGUGGGGGACCUUCGGGCCUCACACCAUCGGAUGUGCCCAGAUGGGAUUAGCUAGUAGGUGGGGUAAUGGCUCACCUAGGCGACGAUCCCUAGCUGGUCUGAGAGGAUGGCCCGCCACACUGGAACUGGGACACGGUCCAGACUCCUACGGGAGGCAGCAGUGGGGAAUAUUGCACAAUGGGCGCAAGCCUGAUGCAGCCAUGCCGCGUGUAUGAAGAAGGCCUUCGGGUUGUAAAGUACUUUCAGCGGGGAGGAAGGCGGUGAAGUUAAUAGCUUCACCGAUUGACGUUACCCGCAGAAGAAGCACCGGCUAACUCCGUGCCAGCAGCCGCGGUAA
rnacentral:rRNA from 1 species